CCAGCGCGUUUCCUCGCCCCAGGGCGCACAGCCCGCCAGGCUGGCCGGACCCCAGCAGGCAGGCUGUCAACUGAGCUUAAAAAUGAAAAUGCAUUUCCCCUUACCUAAAAAUACAGCGCUGGUUACAUAAAUCCUUGAGAUCCCAGAAACUACUCCAACCAAAAAGUACUGAUCAACGCUUUCAUCAUUCCCACCAGGUUUCGCAGUUGCUGAAGCAAAUACCAUGCAAUGGGUAGACUUAACAACAGGACUUCAUUAGCUCAUGGUUUCAGAGGUUAGAAGGCUUUCUUCCUCCCAAGGUUCCUAUGACUUCUACCUUCUGGGCAUUCCCCCUGGCUUCUCUCUGUCGGCCUUUCACACUGUUUAUAAGGGACUCCAGUAAUCUGGAUUAAAGCCCAACCUGAUUCUGUGGGGCCACACCUUAACUGAGAGUCUACUUUAUCUGAAAUUUAUACUAUUAUACCAGUUUUCCUUUGAUCUAAAAAGAGCCCACAGGACAACUGUGCUUGCUUCACCAUGCUACUGGAGCCCAUCUUGGAUGGCAGAAGCAGAGAGAGCUUCAGGGAUGAAAUGCAGCUCAUUGGACGUGCCAAUCAAACGCUGUUCCACUUCAUUGCAUGCAUUAUGGUAGAUUCAAUUAUGUACCCCAGUAAAAGACAUGUUCUUCAUGAGCCCAUUGUAUUGUAAAUAGGACUUUUGAAGAUAUUAUUUUUAUUAAGGUUUGGCCCAACUGAAUGAGGGUGGGCCUUAAUCCUAGUACAGAAAGCUUUAUCAGACAGAGCCACUCGGAAGAGCAGAAGCUGGAAGUCAAGGGAGCCCAGAGGAGAAACGAGAGAGCUCUGCCAAGUGUUAGAAAAGCCAAGGACCCAAGGAUCACCAGCAGUCUUUGGGGAGGAAGCCUUGCCAAUGCCUUGAUUUUGUACUAGACUUAAAACCAUGAGCCAAUAAAUUCCUGUUGUUG